rnacentral:rRNA from 1 species
GACGAACGCUGGCGGCGUGCUUAACACAUGCAAGUCGAACGGAAAGGCCCUGCUUUUGUGGGGUGCUCGAGUGGCGAACGGGUGAGUAACACGUGAGUAACCUGCCCUUGACUUUGGGAUAACUUCAGGAAACUGGGGCUAAUACCGGAUAGGAGCUCCUGCUGCAUGGUGGGGGUUGGAAAGUUUCGGCGGUUGGGGAUGGACUCGCGGCUUAUCAGCUUGUUGGUGGGGUAGUGGCUUACCAAGGCUUUGACGGGUAGCCGGCCUGGGAGGGUGACCGGCCACAUUGGGCCUGAGAUACGGCCCAGCCUCCUACGGGAGGCAGCAGUGGGGAAUAUUGCACAAUGGGCGGAAGCCUGAUGCAGCAACGCCGCGUGCGGGAUGACGGCCUUCGGGUUGUAAUCCGCUUUCGCCUGUGCCGAAGCGUGAGUGACGGUAAUGGGUAAAGAAGCACCGGCUAACUACGUG